UGAUGACAUUUAGUCGAUCUUGCAUGACAGCCCUGGAGGAAUAAGGUGGGAAACACAGCCGAUAAAAGCAUGUGUGAGAUGAUGGAAGCCGAUCGUGUGGCUCUGAGGACUUGUAAAUGUAAAGUCUUGAUGCCAAACCACGGAAACCUUCGACUGGUAGAUAUUUCACUGAAGUCCAAAAGAAGAGAAGAACCUUCCUCUGCUCUGCAGACAUUCCCUCCACAAUCUUCCAAAACCAGGAUAUCUGGGGAUCAGUUUCGUUGUAGCCAUUGUACUCGGUAUGUGCCUUCCAAUCU
rnacentral:misc_RNA from 1 species